UACAGAGGUCUCAAGCGUUGUUCGGAUUCAUUGGGCGUAAAGGGUGCGUAGGCGGGCUAGUAAGUCUGUUGUGAAAUCUCCGGGCUUAACCCGGAAAUUGCGGUGGAUACUAUUAGUCUUGAAUACUGUGGAGGUUAGCGGAAUAUGUCAUGUAGCGGUGAAAUGCAUAGAUAUGACAUAGAACACCAAUUGCGAAGGCAGCUGGCUACACAGAUAUUGACGCUGAGGCACGAAAGCGUGGGGAUCAAACAGG
rnacentral:rRNA from 1 species